CCUGUGUACAUAAUGUGAUGGAUGUUUAUGGUUCCACUAAAUAAUUCAGAUUCUGUGCCUUGAUGUGACCGUUUCCAAAACAGCCUGAAAACAAAUAGGAUGAAAUAUCAUUAAAAUGCUCAAGACUUGCUUUAAACUACAGAAAGGUGCUGAAAACUACUGGAAAGGUUGUGACCCACAAGUAGCACCAUUGUGCAAAGGGCCUUUUCUCAUGAUACCAAACGGCAAGAGUACACACACACACACACACACACACACACACACACACACACACACACACACACACACACACACACACACACACACACACACACACACACACACACACACACACACACACAGAGACAGACAGACAGACAGACAGAAACACAGACA